rnacentral:tRNA from 1 species
UCACUGGAAGACUAGUGGUUAGGCCACAGCACUCUCACCGCUGUGGCCCGGGUUCCAUUCCCGGCCGGGGAA